GUCCAGACUCCUACGGGAGGCAGCAGUGAGGAAUAUUGGUCAAUGGGCGGGAGCCUGAACCAGCCAAGUCGCGUGAGGGAUGACGGUCCUACGGAUUGUAAACCUCUUUUGCCGGGGAGCAAGCGUGCGUUCGUGAACGCGCGUCGAGAGUACCCGGAGAAAAAGCAUCGGCUAACUCCGUGCCAGCAGCCGCGGUAAUACGGAGGAUGCGAGCGUUAUCCGGAUUUAUUGGGUUUAAAGGGUGCGCAGGCGGAGUAUAAAGUCGGCGGUAAAAUUGAGAGGCUCAACCUCUUCGAGCCGUUGAAACUGGUUUUCUUGAGUGAGCGAGAAGUAUGCGGAAUGCGUGGUGUAGCGGUGAAAUGCAUAGAUAUCACGCAGAACCCCGAUUGCGAAGGCAGCUUACUAAACUGUGACUGACAUUGAUGCUCGAAAGUGUGGGUAUCAAACAGGAUUAGAUACCCUUGUAU
rnacentral:rRNA from 1 species